rnacentral:tRNA from 1 species
GGCUCUGUGGCGCAAUGGAGAGCGCAUUGGACUUCUAAUUCAAAGGUUGUGGGUUCGAGUCCCACCAGAGUCG